UACGUAGGGCGCAAGCGUUGUCCGGAAUUAUUGGGCGUAAAGAGCUCGUAGGUGGUUUGUCGCGUCUGUCGUGAAAGCCCGGGGCUUAACUCCGGGUCUGCGGUGGAUACGGGCAGACUAGAGGCAGGUAGGGGAGAACGGAAUUCCCGGUGUAGCGGUGAAAUGCGCAGAUAUCGGGAGGAACACCAAUAGCGAAGGCAGCUCGCUGGGACGGUACUGACGCUAAGGCGCGAAAGCGUGGGGAGCGAACAGG
rnacentral:rRNA from 1 species